rnacentral:lncRNA from 10 species
AAAGGCCAGAAGUGACUCCUGCCGUAGCUGCGGCAGGCCUGGAGGCCGUACUGGGACCUGGCCAAAGACCCAGAAGUCCAGCUUUGAAGAAAACCUGGAGAAAGAGAGAGUCACAAAUCAUCUCCAUACUGCAGGAGAUGCAGAAAUGGCAGAAGGCAUCCCUUGGCUGUGACAGUUUCUUGAUCUUCACUUGAUUUUCAUGGUCUUGACACUUUGAGGACUACUGCUCAGGUUUACAGAUGCCAUUUAUGUCCAGAGCUACUGAGGGUGCCAACAGAUGUCGUUUUGUAAGAAAAGCUCCCCAAAAUUCUGUGCAUCGGACUCAUUUAUGCAAUCUCUGCCUACAUUGGGACCCCACUGAAGCCACGACCCCUAAGGCAGGGCUGGACUGCCUUGCAGUGGGAAACAGCCCAAGUGUCCAUCACUAGAGGAAUGCCUGAGUAUACUGAGGCCAGCCUUACUAUAGAGUCCAAGCAGCAAGUGACAAGGAUGAGGUGGCUCUACAUGUGCACGUGUAGAACUGCCCCCAAGACCUUGUGAAAUGCAAAGAAUAUUGAGUAUCACUUUAGAAUAUAUUAAACAACCUAUCAAGAUUAAUGAGCUUAUUCAGAAAAGAAAAUAAGUCCUGAUCAAUUUCAGCGUGUUUGGACCAGCAGAUUCCAGGUGAUGGAUAGGCAGCUUCAUUUUAAUAGUCUGUUGGUACAGGGUGACCUGUAGCCUUUCCAGAAGAGGUAAAAUGAAUCCUCCGGUUGUCACCCCCUCCUUCCUCGCUCCAAUUCCAUCAUUAAUCCCCGUUUGAGGAUUUGAGUGCUGCCGAGGACUGACAGACUCCAUGAGGUUCAGCUGCUGCCUGGUACAUGUGGUCACCUGCAGCUUCUUCAGCCCUACAUAUAUUUUGUGCUGUUUUAGACUGCUCUUUCUUCCAUUAAAUGAGAGAUUAGAUCUGAAUGGCCACGUGAUCUUCUGAGUCCCAUCUGUAAGAAUCUGCAUUUCCACGGAAUUGGGGGAGCAAACGUUCUCAAAACAUUCUUAAAUGCAAACCCGCAGGCACAGCAUGUGUCUGUCAACUCCAAGAGCAUUUGGAUGUUCGAAGGGAGAGGAUGUUUGACAUCUAACCCGUCGUGGAAAGAGGAGCCUCUACAGUGACAUGAAGGCAAUGGAUUCUCAGCAUUACAAGGCAAGACAGAACUUGAAGGAAGAAGGCUGGGAGGAAACCAAUGUUGAAUGAACACUGACUCUGUGCUCAGCCCUGAGCAAGCAGUGGAAUGCCCCUGGGCUGUGAGCCACGAAUUCAAAUCCCAGCUUGUAGAGCUGUUCUGGGGGUUAGAAGUUUGGGGUCCCUCGUUGCUGCACUCGUUCCAGGUUUGGGGCUGGCGCUGCCCUUCUGACCCCUCCCUAAAGUGGACACAGGAGAAGGAGCGGGGAGAAGAGACAGGCGGCCAGGAGACACCCUGUUGAGGGCUCCCUCUGCUUGCAACAGGACCUGCUGAGGUUGCAGCUGAAGUGCUGGUCUUCCCAGAGAAAACAACCCCUCAUUCUCAAAGGAUGAGAGUGAGCCCUGCGGGGCUGCAUGCUCUUGGCCAUGGGAGAUCAACUGUGGUCACAUAGAGUGUAAUCAGUGUGUAUUUAUGGAUCACUCACUACAUGCAAGACCGGGACACAGCCGGGAUUUACUGUGGGGCUGAAAGCAAGUCACUUAAAAAGGUAAAAAUUCAUGUCCUUUUAAUCUACUUUUCAGCAAGGAACAUCACGUCUGAAUGCUCGCGGCCUCUGCCUGCCCCGUGGGAUGGUGCUGGAAAUUAUACUCAUAUUUAGAUAGCAUUCUCUGCAAGUGGCUGCUGUUGUCCUUCCAUCGUCAGCACAGGCAGAUGCUGGGAGUACCCACCUUGGGGUGAGGUGGCAAGAGAGGGCCAGCUUGUAUCCGCCUCGUUGUCGUCCUUCCUUCCUGACUUGACUCUCUCCUCUGUGGCCUUCUCAGGAGUGGGAUGUGGUUGUGAGGAGAAUGUGCACUUUACCCCUCACCAGUCCAGAGAGGGGCACAUAGCCCAAACCUCUCCCCUUCCCAGAAACCUGCAAGUCCCCCUGGGUGCGCCUGUGUGAUGAGGCAGGCUCCGAGAGCCACAGGCUGGUGGGCCACUAGGAAGCAGUAAAGGAAGACAUUUUAUGAUUGUAGCUGGAGAUAAUGAAUUGAAAAGCUGGUCUCUGUUUCUGGAAAUGAUGCCAGGAGGCCCUCAAAAUAAACGCCCACCUGUCCUUCAGGUCUCAACACCUGUU